CGAUAACAAAGCAGCGUCAAAACGGCUGGGAAGGUGGUCUUCCACAGCAUACGGAUUUUACAUCCGGUUGAAUUCGUGAGUUCGUUGCACACGCCGGUGUGGUACAACACAGAACUCUACGUUCGCAAUCAAAGGUUCAUAAUUAUCUUUAUACCGUGUACUAAAAAAUGUGUAAGUUUUCUCUUCAUAACGCCACCUCAAGCGUUUUAUUAGCCGUUUUCUGUUAUUACUUUUUGCUGGAGAAGGAGGGGUGGGCAGCUGAAAGGAGUCGUAGCGAGACAUGUUGUUUCGGCAUGGCAUUCGAGAGGGCCUAGUGCACUGUUCGGUUAACUUCUUGUGUCUGAGGUUUUUCACUUUAACAUGAAUGAAGUUGAUGGGUUUUAGGCACUGUGGUAACUGAAUAUCACUAAGGUUUUUAUUGACGAAGGGACUUUUAGAUUGGUUCAGCUGCUGCUCACUAACUCUCACGUUCCUCUGCUCGCGAUGCGAUUCACAUAUCGAUCAAUUUAUUCAAAAGAUCCAAAGACAAAGAACAGGUACAUUAUGGUAUAAUUUUAUAUUAUUUUUUAUAGUCUUAUUGUUAAUAGCUUCAGUCACGUUGGUAUUUAAUUUUUCAUUUGCUCGUUUAGCUAUGUAUGACAGUUAACAAUGUUGGUGUAUUACAAUUAUUUACGCGUGUAGGCCACUCCAACUCUCGAUAUUUCAAAUAGAUUAGUGUGCUCUCUCAGAGCUGGGAGAUUUCAUCCUUAUUUUAACAUAUUACUCGAGACGGUGUUUCUCACAGCGUUCUCGGGUUCAUGCGUUCUCGGGUUCAUGCGUUCAUGCGUCCAUGCAUACAUGUCUCCUACUCAGACUUUUCCCCUACACAAGGUAUUUAAUUUUUCAUUUGCUUGUUUAGCUAUGUAUGACAGUUAACAAUUUUGGUGUAUUACAAUUAUUUGUGUGUUGGCCACUCCAACUCACACUCGAUAUUUUGAAUAGAUUAGUGUGCUCUCUGGGAGAUUUCAUCCUUAUUUUAACAUAUUACUCGAGACGGUGUUUCUCACAGCGUUCUACGGGUUCAUGCGUUCUACGGGUUCAUGCGUUCUACGGGUUCAUGCGUUCUACGGGUUUACGCGUUCUACGGGUUUACGCGUUCUACGGGUUUACGCGUUCUACGGGUUUACGCGUUCUUGCGUUCAUGUGCAAAUGCGUACACGUCUCCUACUCAGACUUUUUCCCCUACACGGGGCCUGACUUUCGCCGAUGUCACCUUCUCUUUCUUGCAAGGCAUUUUUCCAUCUAAAAGCGAUAGCCUAGGAGCAGCUGUUACUAUUAUCAUUUCAAGAAUCAACAACUCUCUGUCCUUACGCUUCCAUGUUCCUUUAUCUCAAGCUUCGGCAAUGCACGUCCCCGAAUCACCUGUUUAUUUGCGGCCUGCCAAUGCCUCAAGGGUGGUUCAGAGUCCAUCUCGCGACGGUGGUAGAAGGGUGCGGCCUACCAUCUCCCCUCUACACUCAGUGGCGCCACCAUGGGGUGGCGAGGGGUGGCUACUGCCACCCCAAAAUCAUUCUUUGCCACCCCAUUUGCCACCCCUAAGACAAUUUUUAUUAUGCAUAUUUAUUUAAAAUAUAUAAUGUAGUCUAGAUUAUAUUAUAAUGUAGUCACAGCGUUCUCGGGUUCAUGCGUUCUCGGGUUCAUGCGUUCAUGCGUCCAUGCAUACAUGUCUCCUACUCAGACUUUUCCCCUACACAAGGUAUUUAAUUUUUCAUUUGCUUGUUUAGCUAUGUAUGACAGUUAACAAUUUUGGUGUAUUACAAUUAUUUGUGUGUUGGCCACUCCAACUCACACUCAAUAUUUUGAAUAGAUUAGUGUGCUCUCUGGGAGAUUUCAUCCUUAUUUUAACAUAUUACUCGAGACGGUGUUUCUCACAGCGUUCUACGGGUUCAUGCGUUCUACGGGUUCAUGCGUUCUACGGGUUCAUGCGUUCUACGGGUUCAUGCGUUCUACGGGUUCAUGCGUUCUACGGGUUUACGCGUUCUACGGGUUUACGCGUUCUACGGGUUUACGCGUUCUACGGGUUUACGCGUUCUACGGGUUUACGCGUUCUUGCGUUCAUGCGCAAAUGCGUACACGUCUCCUACUCAGACUUUUUCCCCUACACGGGGCCUGACUUUCGCCGAUGUCACCUUCUCUUUCUUGCAAGGCAUUUUUCCAUCUAAAAGCGAUAGCCUAGGAGCAGCUGUUACUAUUAUCAUUUCAAGAAUCAACAACUCUCUGUCCUUACGCUUCCAUGUUCCUUUAUCUCAAGCUUCGCAAUGCACGUCCCGAAUCACCUGUUUAUUUGCGGCCUGCCAAUGCCUCAAGGGUCGUUCAGAGUCCAUCUCGCGACGGUGGUAGAAGGGUGCGGCCUACCAUCUCCCCUCUACACUCAGUGGCUACUGCCACC
ensembl:lncRNA